AUGAACGCUAGCUACAGGCUUAACACAUGCAAGUCGAGGGGCAGCAUGAACUUAGCUUGCUAAGUUUGAUGGCGACCGGCGCACGGGUGAGUAACACGUAUCCAACCUGCCGAUGACUCGGGGAUAGCCUUUCGAAAGAAAGAUUAAUACCCGAUGGCAUAGUUCUUCCGCAUGGUAGAACUAUUAAAGAAUUUCGGUCAUCGAUGGGGAUGCGUUCCAUUAGGUUGUUGGCGGGGUAACGGCCCACCAAGCCUUCGAUGGAUAGGGGUUCUGAGAGGAAGGUCCCCCACAUUGGAACUGAGACACGGUCCAAACUCCUACGGGAGGCAGCAGUGAGGAAUAUUGGUCAAUGGACGAGAGUCUGAACCAGCCAAGUAGCGUGAAGGAUGACUGCCCUAUGGGUUGUAAACUUCUUUUAUACGGGAAUAAAGUGAGGCACGUGUGCCUUUUUGUAUGUACCGUAUGAAUAAGGAUCGGCUAACUCCGUGCCAGCAGCCGCGGUAAUACGGAGGAUCCGAGCGUUAUCCGGAUUUAUUGGGUUUAAAGGGAGCGUAGGCGGACGCUUAAGUCAGUUGUGAAAGUUUGCGGCUCAACCGUAAAAUUGCAGUUGAUACUGGGUGUCUUGAGUACAGUAGAGGCAGGCGGAAUUCGUGGUGUAGCGGUGAAAUGCUUAGAUAUCACGAAGAACUCCGAUUGCGAAGGCAGCCUGCUGGACUGUAACUGACGCUGAUGCUCGAAAGUGUGGGUAUCAAACAGGAUUAGAUACCCUGGUAGUCCACACAGUAAACGAUGAAUACUCGCUGUUUGCGAUAUACAGUAAGCGGCCAAGCGAAAGCGUUAAGUAUUCCACCUGGGGAGUACGCCGGCAACGGUGAAACUCAAAGGAAUUGACGGGGGCCCGCACAAGCGGAGGAACAUGUGGUUUAAUUCGAUGAUACGCGAGGAACCUUACCCGGGCUUGAAUUGCAACUGAAUGAUGUGGAGACAUGUCAGCCGCAAGGCAGUUGUGAAGGUGCUGCAUGGUUGUCGUCAGCUCGUGCCGUGAGGUGUCGGCUUAAGUGCCAUAACGAGCGCAACCCUUAUCGAUAGUUACCAUCAGGUUAUGCUGGGGACUCUGUCGAGACUGCCGUCGUAAGAUGUGAGGAAGGUGGGGAUGACGUCAAAUCAGCACGGCCCUUACGUCCGGGGCUACACACGUGUUACAAUGGGGGGUACAGAAGGCAGCUACACGGCGACGUGAUGCUAAUCCCGAAAGCCUCUCUCAGUUCGGAUUGGAGUCUGCAACCCGACUCCAUGAAGCUGGAUUCGCUAGUAAUCGCGCAUCAGCCACGGCGCGGUGAAUACGUUCCCGGGCCUUGUACACACCGCCCGUCACACCAUGAGAGUUGGCAACACCCGAAGCCGGCGGCCCAACCCGCAAGGGAGGGAGCUGUCUAAGGUGGGGCUGAUGAUUGGGGUG
rnacentral:rRNA from 1 species